rnacentral:rRNA from 1 species
UGGGGUGACUGCGUACCUUUUGUAUAAUGGGUCAGCGACUUAUAUUCUGUAGCAAGGUUAACCGAAUAGGGGAGCCGAAGGGAAACCGAGUCUUAACUGGGCGUUAAGUUGCAGGGUAUAGACCCGAAACCCGGUGAUCUAGCCAUGGGCAGGUUGAAGGUUGGGUAACACUAACUGGAGGACCGAACCGACUAAUGUUGAAAAAUUAGCGGAUGACUUGUGGCUGGGGGUGAAAGGCCAAUCAAACCGGGAGAUAGCUGGUUCUCCCCGAAAGCUAUUUAGGUAGCGCCUCGUGAAUUCAUCUCCGGGGGUAGAGCACUGUUUCGGCAAGGGGGUCAUCCCGACUUACCAACCCGAUGCAAACUGCGAAUACCGGAGAAUGUUAUCACGGGAGACACACGGCGGGUGCUAACGUCCGUCGUGAAGAGGGAAACAACCCAGACCGCCAGCUAAGGUCCCAAAGUCAUGGU